ACACCUCAACUCUCAUGGCCUCGCCAUGACGAGCUUGGACUUUGAGGGGUCUUGCUGGCCUAUGCGUGUCAGCUCCUUUCAAAUGAAUCGGCUUGCCAGUGUUUGGUGGCAUCACAGGUGUGAUAACUAUCUACGCUUGUGGCUUUCCACCAGGUAACCUUCAGUGAAUGAAGGUUCGCUGGGGCUCAUAAACAUGUCUCUCCUCACCGAGGACAGCUCUUUGGAC
rnacentral:misc_RNA from 1 species